CCGAAAUAGUCGAGUCCACAAUGGGAUUUCUGUAUUUUGUGUAUAGCUGACCUGGCAACCGGUCGUGGAGAUCGGACGUGGGAAAGAGGAGCUCUGAAUGGACGCCUUUCGUACAGAAUUACUCUGUUCAACCUGCAGAAACAAAAAGUACCCUGGAGUGCGCUGCAGAGUGAUGCCCUGCAUGUUUUCCUUGUCGAGGAGCUCAUUUCCAGCGACCCUCCUCCAGCCUGAGUGCUGGCUGAUUGCAGACCAACCGCAUAAAUCCCAGUCAAAUGAACAGUAUGAGCCGAAAGGUAAACCAUCUGGAAGGAGAGCAGAUUCAUAUGAGAAUAUAUUGAGUAUUCCAGAGAUGCUGAAAAGCCUUAUUUUACAUACUGUAGCUGUUAAUAAAUCUCUAAAAGGUUUUAAUGCAGGGAACAAAUCUGACAUGAAUCUGUGUGCGUUCCUUCACAUUGAGACGUAAACUACACAGUGACAAUCGUUCACUCCUGCAGAUGGGAGAGCGGGGUACAAAAGGAUUCCAUUUAGCAUUCUGAGCCCACAGCAGGCUGUGAAUCGACACUUUUUCAUGUCACAGUUUUUGUUGUAAUCCACAAAACCAUAAAGUUAUGCCUCAUUGUAGUAUAAUUUAAAACUUUGAAUAAUCUUAACAUAAAAAUAUGUCGCUGAUCUUUAAAAAAAACUAAUUUGCCUAAUUGUACUACCACAGAUUUCCAAAAGUUCAAUUGUUUAGAAAAAAAAGUGCAAUUUGGAGUCACAUCAACUAGAACUUAAAUAAAUUCUAACCUCUAACAUGAAAUUUUGACCAUGUAAAUAUGGUUAAGAAAUUGCAGAAGUCUAGAUGAGAUUAUUUUUUUUAAAUAGAGGAUUUCAAGGAUUUUUUUCAUUUCACUAUAUACAAUUUAAUCAAAACAUUGAGCAAAAUACAAUCCAAAUAGCAUAUUCCUAAUAAUGAAAACAAUAAGUGAAAAAAUGAACACAAAGAGGCAGCUUUUACCUGACUGAAGUGAAAGGUAAAUCUAAUAUUUUAUGAACAUUUUUCUAAAGUUCUGUUGUCCUUUUCUGGGAAUUCUACAAUAAUGGAAAGGCUGAAAGCAAAAAAAAAAAAGUUGCAUUUUCUAGUUCACCGGUGGCUUCUCCAGCUCACAAAAAAGACAAAAAAAAAAGGCAGAGAAGAACAUAAAACUGAGAAUAUUUCACAAAGCGUGGAUGUAAAUGGGGAGGUAUCAGAUUCCCGAGAUGUUCCCAGACUUAGGAGAGGUUUUUGGAUGAUCGGGAAACGGGCUGACAGCUGAAGGUCUCAGUGAACGCAGCCAGGAAGGAUUGACACACUCAGAGGUCAUCUGGACUACACAUGGAAAAACAAACUACAGCUAAUUUGGCUGGAGUUCCACACGUCAUUAUGCAUGUUUAACUCUGUUCAAUGAGCUCUGCAGAUGACAGCAGCAUGGCAUAUUCACACCAGAACCGUAUUUAGCGUCUGGGGGAAAAAAAAAAAAUGUUAUGUUAAUGAAACCGGAUGAGAAAGGCUCCCACAAGAAAACUUGGACAGUUACAACUCAUUCCUUAAGCCAAGUGUGAACUGAAGCACUUGAAGCUGUCCACGUGGAAUCAGAUCCUGCUGGACACAUGUUCGCAUAUAAAAAAGAAAAAUCUUUUCUCAGUAAAGCAAAACAUUUCUCUGCUGAGCUUUCAGAUCAAAUUCACAUCAGUCUUAUUGUCUGAAACUAGAGAAAAGUGGAAAAACUCAUCUAGAAAAUAUCAAAAUGCAACUUGUAGUGCUUCUAAGAGGUGAAUCCUACAAUAUGUACACUUAGAAGAUUGCUUCAGAAAUAACUCCCUUUGCUUCAGGAGCUGAAGGACUGUAAAUAGCCCGACAACAUUGAUUUCGCUACCGCUUGAGGCAGAGCCUUUUGAUUCUCUGUGAGGUGAAGUGGUUUCUUUCUUUACAUUCAUUGAUGUUUCUAAAGAAAACUUCACUGUCGAGUAGCAGAAAAUGAUUAUUUUUAGUGUCUGAAAACAUGUUUUUCUGCAGUAGACCCAUGAGUUAAAAUAACUAUGAUCUCACCGCUAAAAUGUAACAUUUUUCAGAUGAUGUAUAAAAUAAUUUCACAGUAUUUUGAACUAAAGACAAAGACAGAUGGAGCGCUAUGUGGUUACAGCAUUAGUGACUCACUAUGGAUUCAAAUGUUAUAAAGCUAAUGCAAACGUUCGACAGCUUGCCAAGAAAAAAAAAAAA